rnacentral:rRNA from 1 species
UACGUAGGGUGCGAGCGUUUGUCCGGAAUUAUUGGGCGUAAAGAGCUUGUAGGCGGUUUGUCGCGUCUGCUGUGAAAAUCCGGGGCUCAACCCCGGACUUGCAGUGGGUACGGGCAGACUAGAGUGUGGUAGGGGAGACUGGAAUUCCUGGUGUAGCGGUGGAAUGCGCAGAUAUCAGGAGGAACACCGAUGGCGAAGGCAGGUCUCUGGGCCACUACUGACGCUGAGAAGCGAAAGCAUGGGGGAGCGAACAGG